rnacentral:rRNA from 1 species
GUGGGGAAUCUUGCGCAAUGGGCGAAAGCCUGACGCAGCGACGCCGCGUGGGUGACGAAGGCCUUCGGGUCGUAAAGCCCUGUGGGGAGGGACGAAUAAGCAGCAAUGCCCUGACGGUACCUCCUUAGCAAGCACCGGCCAACUCCGUGCCAGCAGCCGCGGUAAGACGGAGGGUGCAAACGUUGUUCGGAAUUACUGGGCGUAAAGCGCGUGUAGGCGGCGCGAAAAGUCGGGCGUGAAAUCCCUCGGCUCAACCGAGUGAAUUGCGUUCGAUACUGCCGUGCUGGAGUUCGGGAGAGGGACGUGGAAUUCCCGGUGUAGAGGUGAAAUUCGUAGAUAUCGGGAGGAACACCGGUGGCGAAGGCGGCGUCCUGGACCGAUACUGACGCUGAGACGCGAAAGCGUGGGGAGCAAACAGGAUUAGAUACCCCAGUAGUCC